CCGAGUUACACUCCCAAACCCCUGUGGACUUAUACCUUUACCGUUUGCCUCGGCGGGCACGGCCGCGGACGCCCUCGCGGGGGGGGCCGGGGGCCCGCCGGAGGACCCAAACCCUUCUGUAUUUUCCUACGCAUGUCUGAGUGGAUUUAAUAUAAAUGAAUCA
rnacentral:misc_RNA from 1 species